rnacentral:tRNA from 1 species
CGGUCCGUAGCUCAAUGGCAGAGCGCCAAGCUUAUACCUUGGUGGUUCCUGGUUCGAGUCCAGGCGGACCGA